CCCGGGCCUUGUACACACCGCCCGUCACACCAUGGGAGUUGGUUCUACUCUAAGACGGUUAGCUAACCGCAAGGGGGCUGCCGGCCACGGUAGGGUCAGCGACUGGGGUG
rnacentral:rRNA from 1 species